rnacentral:tRNA from 1 species
GGAGGCGUCGCAUAGUGGCUAUUGCAGCGGUUUACUAAACCGCCGACCGCAAGGUCUCGUGGGUUCGAGUCCCUCCGCCUCCGCCA